rnacentral:rRNA from 1 species
AUUGAACGCUGGCGGCAGGCCUAACACAUGCAAGUCGAGCGAGCGGCGGACGGGUGAGUAAUGUAUGGGGACUGCCCGUUAGAGGGGGAUAACUACUGGAAACGGUAGCUAAUACCGCAUACUAUCGGAUAACCCAUAUGGGUUUAGCUAGUAGGUGAGGUAAUGGCUCACCUAGGCGACGAUCCCUAGCUGGUCUGAGAGGAUGAUCAGCCACACGGGAACUGAGACACGGCCAGGACCCAAACGGAGGCAGCAGUGGGGAAUAUUGCACAAGGGGAGCAAGCCUGAUGCAGCCAUGCCGCGUGUAUGAAGAAGGCCCUAGGGUUGUAAAGUACUUUAAGUCGGGAGGCGUUACCAAAAGAAGAAGCACCGGCUAACUCCGUGCCAGCAGCCGCGGUAAUUC